GACGAACGCUGGCGGCGUGCUUAACACAUGCAAGUCGAACGGAAAGGCCCUUCGGGGUACUCGAGUGGCGAACGGGUGAGUAACACGUGGGUGAUCUGCCCUGCACUUUGGGAUAAGCCUGGGAAACUGGGUCUAAUACCGAAUAGGACCGCGCGCUUCAUGGUGUGUGGUGGAAAGCUUUUGCGGUGUGGGAUGGGCCCGCGGCCUAUCAGCUUGUUGGUGGGGUAAUGGCCUACCAAGGCGACGACGGGUAGCCGGCCUGAGAGGGUGACCGGCCACACUGGGACUGCGAUACGGCCCAGACUCCUACGGGUGGCAGCAGUGGGGAAUAUUGCACAAUGGGCGCAAGCCUGAUGCAGCGACGCCGCGUGAGGGAUGACGGCCUUCGGGUUGUAAACCUCUUUCACCAGGGACGAAGCGCAAGUGACGGUACCUGGAGAAGAAGCACCGGCCAACUACGUG
rnacentral:rRNA from 1 species